rnacentral:sRNA from 17 species
GUGUACCGCGCGUACAUUGCAGUUCCUGCGUGCCGUCCACGCCCACCUAACGACUGCUCGCGACGUUUUUUGCU